GCGAGGAAUCUUGGGCAAUGGGCGAAAGCCUGACCCAGCGACGCCGCGUGAGGGAAGAAGGCCUUCGGGUCGUAAACCUCUUUUGCCGGGGAAGAAGUUCUGACGGUACCCGGCGAAUAAGCCACGGCUAACUACGUGCCAGCAGCCGCGGUAAUACGUAGGUGGCAAGCGUUGUCCGGAUUUACUGGGCGUAAAGGGCUUGUAGGCGGUUCGUUAAGUCCGGUGUGAAAUCUCCCGGCUCAACCGGGAUAGGUCACUGGAUACUGGCGGACUAGAGGGGGGUAGAGGAGAGCAGAAUUCCUGGUGUAGCGGUGAAAUGCGUAGAUAUCAGGAGGAAUACCAGUGGCGAAGGCGGCUCUCUGGGCCUACCCUGACGCUGAGGAGCGAAAGCGUGGGGAGCAAACCGGAUUAGAUACCCGUGUAGUCC
rnacentral:rRNA from 1 species